UGUGGGACAGGUAACAGGCUUUCACUGAGGCAGAAUAUCCCACUGAAGCAGACAGAUGAGCUCUAAGAGUGCUGCAGGAGGUUGUUCAGAAGGGUAAAGAAAGCUUCAAGGCUAGCAUUUUCUGUACAUGGUUGCACAGUCAUACUGAAAGUAAAUUACUCUGGUACAUUCAGCAUCUGCAGACAGAACUCUCUGCUUUCAAGGACGAUGCAAUGAAGGCUGAGGGGCAGCUAAUAGGACUCACCUGUUAAUGUUUCCUCAAUACAAGGCCAUCUAGCCUUUCAGUUGAAAAUAGGAUCCAACUGGAACACCUGGUCUAGUCCUAAUUAGACAUUAUGCCACUAAGCACCAGAGAGGAGCAGAACAAAGACUCAGUUCUAGCCUCCAGAGUCCCAGAAAAAAAGGAGUCUGCAAUUUAUCACUUUGAACCUGC